rnacentral:lncRNA from 1 species
AUGCAGAAGAUAAAGUUAUCACAGAAUUAUGUUUCUUUUUCAGAAAGACAAGAAGAUUCUACACCAGAAGUCAUUGCAUUUAAAUCAAAGGAAUGCAAACAAUAUGGCAAUGUAUCGAACAUAGCUUGUUUGGCAAGAACGUUGUACAAGAGCAUCAAUCUCGAUGGGCCCAAGGGUGUCAUUGCUUAUGAUCUGAAGGAACCUAUUCUCACAUCAGAGGGGAUGUACAGUACCUUGAAAGUAGUUGGCAUAAAACCAGACACAGAAGGAACCUGCAAAGCUGUGCACAAGGGGAACAAGACUGUAGCGAGCACAAUCCUGACAGAAGGGAAAGAUGAAGAACUGGCAGCAGAGAAUGCUUGCAACUUUACAGACGCCUUUAAAAAAGAUGUCAAAAUGGAGAAAAUGAACAUGCUGUUCAUGGUUGUUUUGGGUUUGAGGGUCCUGCUGGCAAAAUGCAUCGCCUUCAACAUGCUCAUGAGUAUCUGUUCAUAUUCUGAGGUAGGAAAUACAAUCAUUCAGUCCUUGGGAGCAUAG